GACGGAUUUCUCGGAAGUCGACCUGCGUCGCCGUCGGGGUCAAGAGGAAGUGACGUUAUUUAUUCCCACAUCCUACAUGUGGAUGUGAGAUGGCGUGUUUAUAUUGUUGAAUUUGACCUGCCCUGAAAACGCGCAUAGCUUGUGUGCUGUGUUGUAUGAAUGGAAUGUAAACAGCAGCAUUGUGCACGUGCACGUGCACGUGCAUUGCAGCAUAUCCAGGGCAGCGAACAAUAACAAUUUGGCGAUAUUUUCGUGUGUUACGGCCACAGAUAACCACGAUUGUGGUAAGGAAAUGUCUCGUGAGUCAAGUGAGAAUCAAGCAGACACAUUUAACAUGUCUAAUGCAGAAAUAGGAGAAGAAAAGCAGCCCAAAAUGAUCGAGAUCGAGAGAAAAUUUCUUGUGACAGGAGAUACGGGUAAGAAGAUAUUGAAUGCCGGUGGAACGUACAGUGGUGUGGUAACUCUAACUGACAGUUAUUUUGACAAUGAAAAUUACAGUUUAACCAAGGGAGACUUCUGGUUGCGACGUAGGAAUGAUCAGUGGGAACUGAAGAUGCCUCCUAAAAUUCGAGAAGAAAAAUCUACAUGCACACAGUACGAGGAAGUGACAAGCGAGCGAGACAUUGUUUCUAAGGUGGCAGCCAUUUUGUGCAACACUGCAAAUCAAAACAAUGAUGACACUGUGAAUGGAAACGAUCAAAUUUAUGGGUUGAAUGAUGUUCAGACAUUGGUUAAAAAGUUUGAUCUCAAGCCCUUUGCAGAACUUGUUACGAAUCGCAAGAACUAUCGUAUGAACAAUGAGAUUUCAGUCACUAUCGAUGAGACGGACUUUGGUUUUCGUGUUGGCGAGAUAGAGAUGAUGGUUCAAAGUAGUGAUGCUGACGUCAUGAAGGAUGCUGUAGCUAAAAUUGAUGGAGUGGCACAAAGUUUAGGCAUGGAAGACUUUGGUUCGUUGUCUGUGGCUGAUUAUCUGGAUGAUGCUAUUCUAUCUCACAUCUCAAACUGCAUCUAACAUUCUACUAAAAUGCACAUGCUUUUCCAAUCUAGUCUCAGUUCAAGGCAAACUGGAAGCUUAUUUGUUGGCCAACAAUCCUGUUCACUACCAGACACUGAUGGAUGCUGGCAUUUUGAAGGAUU